CUCAUUAGAAAGAAGAGGGUUCUUCAGUUAAUUAAGGAAAAACCAAUACAACAACCCACAAACAGACUACUCACAAAGAACAAAACAUCAUAACCGCUCUAGUGGCUUACCCCGCCAAAGAAAAUUAAAAAAAAUGAUUAGAACAAACUUUGCAUUUCCGUGCACACUUGUUCCCCGGAAUAAUAAACGGUCUGAUCGAUCUGCCCCUCUUCCGUGGCGUAUCCAUGCGGGCGAGCGGGCCAUCCAGCGAGGAGUUCUUCCGUGGCGUGCCCAUGCCUGCCUCCAUCAUUACCUUCUUCCCGUGCCGUUGCCAAAUCUUGGACGAAGGCACCACCACGUCCACAUGCACGCACGUCACGGCCGGCGGCCACACGAAUGCAUAACGGCGGCAUCGAUCCAUGCAGG
rnacentral:lncRNA from 1 species